rnacentral:rRNA from 1 species
CAGGCUGCAACUCGCCUGCAUGAAGCUGGAAUUGCUAGUAAUCGCGGAUCAGCAAGCCGCGGUGAAUACGUUCCCGGGCCUUGUACACACCGCCCGUCACACCAUGAGAGUCGGGAACACCCGAAGUCCGUAGUCUAACCGCAAGGGGGGCGCGGCCGAAGGUGGGUCCGGUAAUUGGGGUGAAGUCGUAACAAGGUAGC